rnacentral:rRNA from 1 species
CCCUUAGAUGUCCUGGGCCGCACGCGCGCUACAAUGACGUAUUCAACAAGUCCUAUCCUGGCCCUGAAAGGCGUCUCGGGUAAUCUUCAUAGUAUACGUCGUGUUAGGGAUCGAUCUUUGGAAUUAUAGAUCUUGAACGAGGAAUUCCUAGUAUGUGCAAGUCAUCAGCUUGUACAGAUUACGUCCCUGCCCUUUGUACACACCGCCCGUCGCUCCUACCGAUUUCGAGUGGUCCGGUGAACCUUCUGGACUGCGCUGCCCUCGAGGUACGCGCGGAAAGUUAAGUAAACCUUAUCACUUAGAGGAAGGAGAAGUCGUAACA